rnacentral:rRNA from 1 species
GACGAACGCUGGCGGCGUGCUUAACACAUGCAAGUCGAACGGAAAGGCCCUGCUUGCAGGGUGCUCGAGUGGCGAACGGGUGAGUAACACGUGGGUGAUCUGCCCCUUACUUUGGGAUAAGCCUGGGAAACUGGGUCUAAUACUGGAUAGGACCAUGCUGUAGGUGGUGUGGUGGAAAGAUUAGUUUCGGUAAGGGAUGAGCUCGCGGCCUAUCAGCUUGUUGGUGGGGUAAUGGCCUACCAAGGCGUCGACGGGUAGCCGGCCUGAGAGGGUGGACGGCCACAUUGGGACUGAGAUACGGCCCAGACUCCUACGGGAGGCAGCAGUGGGGAAUAUUGCACAAUGGGCGCAAGCCUGAUGCAGCGACGCCGCGUGGGGGAUGACGGCCUCCGGGUUGUAAACUCCUUUCAGCCAUGACGAAGCCCUUGUGGUGACGGUAGUGGUAGAAGAAGCACCGGCUAACUACGUG